GUGUAAUUUUGAUGUGAUUGUGUGAAGAGGUGAGCCAUGUCUGCUUACAUCACCGUCUUGACUGGAAGCCUGUACAGUUGCCCUCUCAAGUUCUUCCUACUGACCCGCCUCACCGAGAUUUAGGUCUCCACCUGGACAGUAACUCCCACAGGAAAAGCAUCAACAGGUGACCAGCUGCUCUAUUCUCUAGCCUCUCUCAAGCCAUGUCGAGUUGGAAGGUCACCAACCUCCAGGGAGGAGAAAUUCAAUGGAUUGCUAAUUUGAACUCCAGUUUGUGUGGAGGGAGCAACAGAACUCCACGGAGAUGAGAAGGGUAACCACAUCAUCUACGUCUAAAGUUUCUGGCAAAGAUUUACCUUCUGGAGUAUGUUCACAAAGACAAGAAGUAAAUUGCCCCGAACUUCUGAAAGGAAGAACGUCAUUCUAAAGACAAACAGUCUUCUGUCUGCCACCCAGCUGUGUCUCUCUUCGGUCAGCCUCCUCCCAUGUCUACUGUCCCCUGACUGGUCAGUGCCCCCAGUCAGUGGCUCAGUUCUUGCUGUUUUGUGCUCCUGCCUGUCACGGAAUUCUCAAAUAUGAAGGCACUUUCCUGAACCUGUUCUCAGUGUGGGUUUCUCAGUGGUGACGUGGAGAAUCCUCUCAUCUGUGCUGCCUUCAGCAGCUGAGUAAAUACAUCUGGAAACCUCC